CCCACUCAGCGCUGGUCUACUCUGUAGGCCCAGUUGCUGGUUGCUAUGGCUCUGACCGCUCUAGUAGCGGUCUCUGCUUAAAUUCUACAACAUUGUACCGUGCAUAGAUCUAGAAAAGUCUUGUGUUGUCUGAAUGACGGCGUUGACGCUCUUGUCUAUCUCUGGUAGCUUGUAUGAAAAUGCAUUCUCUGGAGUUUAACUAGGGGUGUCUAUUAGCUGUCUGCCAAACUAUCGAGUUUUUCUCUGGGUCUGGCCACGCAGCUGUGUAAAAGCAGUCUG
rnacentral:rRNA from 1 species